AUGUUAUCCUGGACGUGAGGACUCGCUGGAAUUCUCUAUACCUUAUGGUGGAGCGCUUUGUAGAGCAAUUCCCUGCAAUCCAGGCAGCCUGCCUCGAUCAGAGGCUAAGGAAGCCAAGGGAGAGAGACAGGUGAGUUGAUGGACAAGAGGGUAAUUUGUAAUAAUGUCAAUUUACCUUUUGUUCUUAACAUUAUUGUUUAUUUUCCACAGACUACAAAGGCUCACCGAGACAGAUUUUGAGAAGGCAGAGGAAUUCAUGAAAGCCAUGAAAGUGUUGUACACCUCAACCCUCUGCGUGUCAAGCGACAAGACCCCCACAUGCAGCCAAAUCAUCCCGAUCCUCACGAAGCUGGAGGCACACUAUUCGACCUCCGAUGAUGACAAUCCAUUUAUGGCUGCUAUAAAAGAGAAGGUCUGGCAAGAUCUUGAAAAAAGAUACCAGGUACUAUCCAUCUACAGCCAAUAUCCAUGUUCACAAAGAAAGAAGGCAAACUACACCAUUUACACUAUUAGACACUAAACCAUGUUUUCUUUACAGGCUCAAGACAUUCAGAACUUCCUUAGAGAGGUCACCUUGAUGGACCCUCGCUUUAAAGGCAGGCUGUAAGUUGGUGUUGCGGAAGCUUGGGACAGGCUUGAGAAAGCAGGGAUUGACAAUGCCAUGGCAGUUCAGCUUCCAAAAGAGGACCCUCUUCAGAGUGAGGUAGAAGGUGAGGGUAAUGAGGUGGAGGAGGACCAAGCAGGCAGAAAUCCAAGAAGAGCUCACAAGAUGUCAGCCUUGGAGCAGUUGUUUGAGGAUGAAGACCGAGAACUUCUCCAUGCAACUCUGACCACAAGCAGUGCCCUCUCCAUUAGAGAAGAAGUCCAGAAAGAGCUACAGAUCUACAAAGGCCUGCCAGCGAUCCCAUCUGGACAAGACCCUGUGGCCUGGUGGGGGGGUAAGAGGGAUACCCUCCCUAAUUUGUCUCUCCUGUCAGAGAAUUACUUGUGUGUGCAGGCCUCAUCAACCCCCUCUGAGAGGGUUUUCUCGUGUGCUGGGCAUGCAAUAAGUAAGGAAAGAUGUCGAAUAUUACCAGAGAAGGCCAAUAUGGUGAUAUUCCUGCAGAAGAAUUGUUAGAGAAAGAAAUGUUAAGAAAUAAGAAAUUGUUUUUAAGAAAUAUACUGUAAAGUGUCCUCACCAGUCACAAAAGCUACUUUAAUUGUGCAAUAUCUUGUUCUAUACUUGUGUUAUGUAUCUAUUUUAAUAUUUAAGGUGUUGCACUGUUCGUGUUCAGUUCAGGUCAUUAGGAGGAGAAAAUGGAGAUUAGAUUACCCUGGUAGUAUCUCUAUUAAUCUCCAGUAUUUAUAUUGUUUGAUACAAUAUUGUUUUAUUUGAUGUAAAUGUGAAUCUUUAUUUUAUAUUGCUUUAUUUAUUAUUACCAAAUGUUACUUGUAUUUAUAUUGUUUAAAGAUUUAAAGUAAUAUUGUGUUUAAUUUGGCCCUGGAAAUAAAAGGGUAUUUUUUUUGACAAAGUGUGUGCAGUUUUGUUUUUGUAAGUAUCGGUUCGAGAACCGUUUUAGCACCGGAAUCGUUUAAAAAGUAUCGAAUAGGCACCGGAAUCGGAUGAAACCCAAACGAUACCCA